GCAGAUGAGGAGAAAGCACCUCCACUGAGUAUUGCGAUGAAGAUACGCCCACGACCUGAUG
rnacentral:snoRNA from 1 species